AUUCCAUGGUGAGGACAUGCGGCCACGUAUUCUUGCAGAUGUUCCCAGGCUUCUGGGAUCGUCUCAUCCCUUGUCUGCUGGAAGCUUGAUAUUCUCCCGUGAAGGGC
rnacentral:snoRNA from 1 species